rnacentral:misc_RNA from 1 species
GAACGCACAUUGCGCCCCUUGGUAUUCCGGGGGGCAUGCCUGUUCGAGCGUCAUUAUAACCCUCAAGCCUAGCUUGGUGUUGGAGCAUGCUAUCUAGCAGCUCUUAAAAUCAGUGGCAGUGCCCUUCGGCUCUAAGCGUAGUAACUUCUCUCGCUAUGGAAACCGGAUGGUACGCGCCAAAACCCCCAACUUUCUAUGGUUGACCUCGGAUCAGGUAGGGAUACCCGCUGAACUUAAG